rnacentral:rRNA from 1 species
UACGGGGGGGGCAAGCGUUGUUCGGAAUUACUGGGCGUAAAGGGCUCGUAGGUGGCCAACUAAGUCAGACGUGAAAUCCCUCGGCUUAACCGGGGAACUGCGUCUGAUACUGGAUGGCUUGAGGUUGGGAGAGGGAUGCGGAAUUCCAGGUGUAGCGGUGAAAUGCGUAGAUAUGGGGAGGAACACCGGUGGCGAAGGCGGCCACCUGGACGGUAACUGACGCUGAGACGCGAAAGCGUGGGGAGCGAACAGG